GCGGUGCAGUUUUAGUAGCACGCGUCCCCCGAAUGGAUGAAACGCGGGUUCCAUUCCCGCCUGAAACC